rfam:Medicago truncatula strain A17 chromosome 6, whole genome shotgun sequence.
AUAUAAGCAAAUUUUACUUUUUAGGUUCAUUCAAUUAAUGAUGUAUGUGGUUUAUAAUAUAGAUCACAUACAUCAUUAAAUGAAUGAACCUAAAAAGUAAAAUUUGCUUAUAU